rnacentral:ncRNA from 1 species
GUAAGCCGUGUGCGGGAAAUCCGCACGCACGGUUUGAAAGGGGGUCUUGCCCUUCAU